CCAAAGGCCCACACUCAUGAAGUGGCAAACCCAGCAGAUCCCCGGGCCCCCUGCCUCAGGACCUCUGCUGAAGAGGGGGAUGAAGGGGUCUCCAGAGAGGCAUCAGGGGACUUGAGGGUGGCUGGCUCGGGAGCCAGCUUACAGGAGGGCAGCUCUGUGGUGGGGAGGGGCACCGUCUGGCGACCAGGCCUCCGCACAUCCCCACCCUCCUUAACCUGCUCACAGCGUCUUGGCCGAGGCUUUGUGUACCAGAUGUUUUUUUCUAAAUGAAGAGGUGAUCAGAUCUCACCCCACUGUUGGUUUUGUUGUUGCAGCAGCAAAAGCUCUCUUUCCACUGCGGCUUUUAUCUCUAUCAGGCAACCAGCCACCUGGUCCCGUGUGCUGACUGUAGCACAGUGCCCAGGAUCCAAUGCGAGUCCAGGGGUGACCGCAGGACGGUGGAGGCGGCGGGCUUCUCCACGCAUCCCAGCCGCCAGGGCCCUGAUGCACUCCCUCCUGCCCCUUCAGCACAUCCGUGUGCACAGCUGGAGGGGCACCUGGCCCGCUCACCUUCCAGGCCCGUGGAAAUGCUGGGGAUGCCAGCUCCUCCCCACCUUGCCCCUGCCACUGAGCAGGCAUUAACUGGCUGGUGUUUGCAGUCCCACAUGGUGUGGCCUCCAGAGUGGUGAGUUCCAGUAGGGCAGCGUGCGGACGUGCUCCAUAGAGGCCCCGCCCAGGCCUACAGGGCAAGGUCUUGGACACUGACCCAGGAGUCACCGCUAAAGCAAGCCUGCCUUGGCUCUGUGCCGGGGCCCCUCUCUCCUGAUUCACACAUCCCAUUUUUGCACAGACACUUCCUUCUUAAGAGCUGACAGCUCUGUCGGCAUCCAAGAACCCACACCAUGAAGACAGGGAGUGAGGGGCCUUUGUGCCCAGGCCAGCACAGCUGCGUUCUGGAGUGGAUGCAAGGCAUGUUCGUGUCCAUACCUCUGCCAGUUCCCAGGACACAGAAAUUGCUGGGUGGAGGCGACUUAAGGCUUGUGUGUAGAGUGGUUGCGGCGUUCACCUGCAGACCAAUCUGAAUAUAUGUCAUGUAUAAUUGUUAUGUGUAAUUUAAGAUAUAUCUGUUUGCCAUCGUCAUGGGAAGAUAUGUAACGCUCUUAAGGGAGAGGGAGGUGUGCAUGCUGUCAGGCUCCUGUGGACUUUGUCCUAGUAAUGAAAUGCUCUGUCAAUCCAGUGGUGCAAGAAGCUACACUCCAUGUGUCAUCACGCUUAGGAAUGACGUCGAAUGGAUUUUUAAGGCAAAAGCUGUCAGCGACACCCAUCAUCGUCCCUCGCAUCCAAUCUUUCCGUGCCAGUGCUUCAGAGCCACAGCGCUCUCUUGCCAUCGGGACUGGCUGGGCCUGGCGUCUCGGGGCUCAGUUACCAUGGAGCUCUCCUGGAUCACUCUACAAAUGUGCUGAGUGCCAGCUGAAAACCCCACAGGAGAUGGAGUACCUUGGUUAAACUUAGGGAAGAUUUUUCUCAGGGUAUUUACCAGUGUGUCCAGCAGGUCAGGAAGCAGGGAUGGAAAGACGCAUUCAGACUGCUAAUUUAUUAACAAGGCAAAUGAGUUCAUGUUUCUUGAUGACAAACUAUUAAGUUUGGGAUUUAUUUUCCCAUUCGAGAAGUUAUAAUAUAUAUUUAAGAUAAGUUUCCUGCUUAAGUUGUGCCUUUCUGCUUCAACGAGUUUAAGGAGCACUAAGGGUAAUGCUACCAAUGAGGGUUGGUUUAUUAUCAAACCUGAAUAGCUGUGGUUUCUCCAGCAAAUGUUUUCUUCUACUGAACAUGGAGCCAUUAUUAAGAGUUGUGUGUUUUUUUAUUAUGUACAUUUGUAUAUUUUUUUGCUUGUUUGAUGUUCUAUUUUUCUAAUAGUUUUCUUAUAGUUUCCUAAAGUUGCGACACUAGACAUAGAGUCCGAUGCUAACUGCAAAUCAGGCUGGCCUCUGCUGGGUCUCUCCUGCUUUUAUUUUACUGUAAGGAUAGUGUAGUUGUCGUCCACCACCUUUCAAAAAAUGUGAAACUGCCCCGCCCGCGCGCCACCCCCCGCCUUUUUGCUGACAUCACUGUGUACAUUGACAACUUCCUACCAUACUUUAUGUUAUAAAAUCAAACUAUUUCGUGGUACAUUAUCUCACGCUUCCGCAAAUUCUAAUAAAUUCUGUCUAUGGCUUCCA